rnacentral:rRNA from 1 species
GAUUAACGCUGGCGGCGUGCCUAACACAUGCAAGUCGAACGAGGUAGCAAUACCUAGUGGCAGACGGGUGAGUAACGCGUGGUCAACCUACCGUUGAGUGGGGGAUAACUAGCCGAAAGGUUAGCUAAUACCGCAUACGUCUCCGAGGGGCAUCCCUUGGCGAUAAAAGGAGCAAUCCGCUCGAUGACGGGACCGCGUCCCAUUAGCUAGAUGGUGGGGUAACGGCCUACCAUGGCACCGAGGGUAGCUGGUUUGAGAGAGCGACCAGCCACACUGGGACUGAGAAACGGCCCAGACUCCUACGGGAGGCAGCAGUGAGGAAUUUUCCGCAAUGGGCGCAAGCCUGACGGAGCGACGCCGCGUGUGGGAAGAAGGCCUUCGGUCGUAACC